GAACCUUACCAAGCCUUGACAUGCAUUUCUAAGUUGGUGAAAGCCAGCGAGUGUAGCAAUACACAACUUGCACAGGUGCUGCAUGGCUGUCGUCAGCUCGUGUCGUGAGAUGUUGGGUUAAGUCCCGCAGCGAGCGCAACCCCUGUGAACUGUUGCCACCGGCCCGUGAGGGCCGAGCACUCUGUUCAGACUGCCCUGUGAAACGGGGAGGAAGGUGGGGAUGACGUCAAGUCAGGAUGGCCCUUACGGCUUGGGCUGCACACGUACUACAAUGCUCAGUACAGAAUGAACCGAGACCGCGAGGUGGAGGAAAUCUAUAAAACUGAGCUCAAUUCGGAUUGAAGGCUGCAACUCGCCUUCAUGAAGUCGGAAUCGCUAGUAAUGGCGCAUCAGCUACGGCGCCGUGAAUACGUUCCCGGGCCUUGUCACACCGA
rnacentral:rRNA from 1 species